UAUCUAUAUCUAUAUUUAGAGAUAGAUAUAGAUAGAUAUCUUAUAUAUCCUGUCCUCAGGUGAGGGUCUCUGAUCAUGCUGGAUACAUUGUCUCUUACUGGUCCAGUAGCUCUGAUGACAUGGCCAAUGGGGGUGGAAAGGAGAGAAAGUCCCUUCCCCCACCUUGUUGUCUUCUAGUACAGGUGAAGGGAUCUACCUCCACAAAAUAUGCUAGAGCCGGGAUUCUUAAAAUCCUGAACUACUAUUGCUGAAAGCCCUCCAGCUAUUUAAAUCCCUAAAGGUCUGAGCCAAUGGACAAGUUUCCUUCUUGACCCAAAGAUGUCUGUAUCUCAUAAACAUAGAAACAUCUUAAUUAUACAUUAAACCCCAUCAUUUAUAAUUACAUCAACUAUGAUUAUAUCAGCUUAGCUGGAUAGGAGGGAAGGAAAUCAUAAACCUCCUCGGUUACAUAAAAGAAAUAUAAAUUAAUAUAAUCCUAAAGCAAAUUGACAAAGAUUGAAAAAACAUUCAAAGUCAAUGCUGAAAGGGCUAUUAGAAGGUACUAGUGGGAAAGCAAUGAACAGUCUAGUCAUUCUGGAUAUCAUUUUGAAAUUAUUCAAAAAGUGAUUAAAUCACUAUCUUUUGACUCAAAGAUUAUACAUAGUCUAAGGCAUAUACUCAAAAUAAGUCAAAGCUGAAGUUAAAGACCCACUAUUUGCCAUAAUAUUAAUAGCCUUUCUCUUGGUCAUAGCAAAAAAAACGAAAAGGAGUGACUGAGCCACCCAUUCAGGGAAUGGCUAAACAAAAUGUGGCAUGUGACCGUAAUAAAAUGCUACUGUGAAUAAGAAGUGACGAUAAAGAAGAAUUCAGAGAAACAUGAGAAUAUUUACAUGAAUUGAUCAAGGAUAACAUAAACAGAACUAGAAAAACAAUCUUCGUGAAUAUAAAUGAAAAGAUCAUUAAGAUGAAGUCAAACUUUGAGUAAUUAAAAAGUCAAUAACAGUUCCAGACAACACAUAAUGAAACAUAUGUCCCUCCUCUUGUCAGGGAGAUAAAGGACUGUGAUGACAAAAUGUUGCAUACAUUUUCAUAUGUAGUUGCUGUAGUUGCUAUUUAAAGCAGGCAGGGAGGGUUUACCUACAUAUGACUGGGAAGUGAAAAAAGAAAAAGGAUUCAAUAAAUUAUUUAAAAGUAAUUAAAAUAUAACAUAUCCAGUGGCCUUUUGUCACUUCUCAUCUUCCUUUACUUCUCUGGAGUUCUGUUCAUCUCUCAUUUCUGUCCUUUUUUCUCCUUUCACAUGGUUACCAGGAUAGUUCAGGCCUUAAUAACCAUGCACCUAGAUUUCUGUUUGUUCUCCUUGCUUCCCAUCUCUCUCUUCUUCAAUCAAUUCCACACACAGCUGAUAAAAUAAUCUUCCUAAGGUAAAUGUCUGACAAUAUCACUCCUCUGUUCAUAUUUCUACUGCGGUUAUCUAUUGCUUUAAGGAUAAAAUAUAAAAACCUCAUCCUGGUAUUUAAGGCUUGCCACAAUUUAACUCCAACCUACUUUUCCAGGUUUAUUUCACAUUAUUCCUCUUUAUACAGUCAACAUUACAGUCAAACUAGACUUCUAGCUGUUCCUAGAUAUCAGCAUUCCACCUGUUGACUCCUAAAUUCUAGGUUCUAGAGGCGUAAUCUUUUCCCCUCACCAUCUGCUCUUUUAAAUAUGUAACUUUUGUAGCAAAUCAGUCGUCAUACCAAAAAGUGAAAGGCAACUUUUACAUCAGAAACCAAAUUUACUGGGUGACAUCUGGAAGUUCAGUUGGUUGGUUGUUUCAAAUAAGGAAAAACAUAGCUAUUGAAAAGGGGUCCUUUAACUCUUCUAGUUGGUGUGUGUUCCUCUAGAUCUGCAGAUGGUCUCUGCCUUUUUUACUCUGUUGCUGAUUCCUGGUGAUGUAAGCACUAGCAGCUGGGACACAAAUUCUCAAGGUUGUCAUAUUUCAAAACAAACCCCAAAAAGACUUUGGGCCUUCCUUAUGAACAAAAAGGAGCCUGAUUUCCUCACAUGGACUAGAUGUUUCCUCUCAGUUUUCUCUGCCUUCAGGAUCUAUAGGGCCCCAAGUAGAGCAUGUGGGGUCAGAGGCAAAAUUCACGUAACCCACAUAAUAACACCAACUUGUAUGGGACUCUCUCCUCAUUGAUGAAGACUAAUUAUACACUGCUCCAUAGUCAUGUGAGGGGCAAAGUUGGUGAGAGCUUGAGAGAAGGGAGAUCCUGGUAUUCUGGUUUCCAGCUUCAAGAGAGAAUACAAGUGGGUCCAGAUUCUCUUCAGAUCCUUGAAGGAAGAGAAAAACUCUGGGAAGAAGCUGAUAGCAGAGGAGUCAGCCCCUCAACCACAUUCCUAUCCCCAGGCUACUUCACUUGAGACUUCAAAGAAUUUCCCCUUAGGCACCUCCCAGGACAAGUACAAUAGAGUGUCGGAGUGGAAUGAACCCUCAAGGAGGUCAAGUCUAGUUGGGGUCAACAAGCCUAGAUUUGAGUCUCAGCUCUGCCACUCAUUAGCUGUGUGAUCUUGGGAUCACAGAAUGGUGACUCCAGAUGUCUAGAGGUCAUCUAGUUCAACAUCCUCAUCUUAUAGAUGAAGAAACCAAGGCUUGGAAAGCCAAAGCAACUCACUUAAAGUUCUACAGUGUACAAUCAGCUUAAGUGAUUUGACCAAAGGCACACAAAUAAUCAAUGGCAAACUCCAAGGGUCUUGACUGCAAAUCCUCUGCUCUUCCCAUCAUACCACAUUAUGUGUUCAACCGUCUUGCCUCAAAAACAGAGGAAUAAUUCCAGGGCACAAGGGCCUAAGGGUGAAGACACUGAGACAUUGUCACACCAGUGCUGAAGAACCCAAAGGACUGAUGGGAAGGGACUCUCAAAAGCGAACACACUGCUACGGGUUCUUUAACUAUAGUUUUACAAUAUUUUUGAACUUGAAAUAGUAGUCAUCCAUCUGGGGACCUUGUCUAUAAACCUGUUCCUCUGACUGGCAAGAAUGGAGUGAUAACAGAGAUACACCAAGCUGUGAUGCAUUGUUGCAGAAAGUGGAGCUGGAGGUCAUUAGCCUCUCAAAAUUCUUUAACCAGGAUAGCAGUUUCUAUUUUGUUUAGAAUAGAGGGGAAUAUAGGUUGGUUAAAACUAUUACCUUGCCACGAUGUCUCUUAAGCCCUUUUUUGUUUCAGGAAGUAAAGCCAUAGGGAGGUUUACUUAAGCUAGGGGCUAUAAGACCUAAGAACUAAAAUGAGCUUAUAGUCAUAACUUAGGUUAACAGUUGAACUGAGAGACAGCAGUGGAGAUAGUUGAUGACAAGACAGCUAAGUUGAAAAUAAAGGUAAAGUUCUGAGACAAGAAGUCUUCAAAAGAAGAGAAACAGUAGCUCAAAGGGUAAACCUAAUGUCCAUAUAGCUCUUGCACUUUCUAUAAAGUCCAGCCUAUUGGCUGGGAAACCUAACUGAAAAGAGCUGAAGCCAGCUUUGUAACUAUUAGCUGAGAAUGCUGAUAAAGAAUUGCCAUAUUUUUUGACUGAGAGAAUUGAAUGAAUCUUUAAAGCAAUUGGCUAAGGAGCCUAGCUAAGAAAACUGGGGAGAGCUUUGUAGCCAUUGACUGAGAAUUCGGGCUGAAGAGAGUUAUAGCCCUCUCUGCCAAGGAGACAAUUACCAAUCAGCACCACCAGUAGAUGGAGGAGAAAUUUCUUUUGGAGGUACUCCAAAGAUAGUACCUCAGCUGAAGACUAUUGCAGAGUCCCAGAAGGAGGUUAAAAGAGAAGGCUGACACAGCUAACUGAAAAUGCUUCUGACUUCUUCCUUGAAGAGAAAAGCCACAGCACAAAAACUCUAGUGGAUGGCAGAGGUAGCUAAAGAGGCUGGUUAAAGAGUUGUAACACUAGCAAACCUAUUGGAUGAUGUUUCAGGGUAGCAGGUGAAAAUAUACAGAAUUAAUCAUGAGGCAGAAGAGAGAAAAGCACCUAGCAGAGAACAGGAGGAUACAAUACUUGGAAGAGAGAAUCAGAGAGCAAUUUCUGACAGCAACUGGGGAGGACAAAUUCUUAUUGAGAAGCAGGUAUAGCUUAGAACAGAGUGAUGGUAUCAGCUGAAAACUUUGGCAACUUUGCAGUGUGUGGAGUAUGAAGUCCUUCCAUGUAUAUGCCUUGGUCAUACUUGUUUCCUGGGAGUGCAUCCUUUCACGUUUGAAUGCCUGUGUAUGGAUGUCUCACACAUAAUUCCUAAUAGGGUCUGCUCUUCCCAUCAAAUGUAUAUAUCAUUAUGAGACAGUACCUUCAAGGUUUAUUGGAAAAAUAUGUUAUUAUUUAAAAUGAUUUUAAUUAAAAUGCCUUUGUUAUGAACAAUGUGUGCUCUAUGGAUUACUAAUAAAAGGAAAAUAGAGUGGUGGGAACUCAUGAGGUAAAAGAGAAUUCUCACCAACACCACCAGCCCUAUACCAAGAACCUAGAGUAGCUAACUGGGGUCACAGAAUGAGGAGGAAGUCAGUGGGCUAUACCAAGAGAUCAAAAAUGUGUUGCUUAGGCAGUUUCCUAUACUCUUUCAGUCUAUUCAGUCUGGUAACUUCUUUGCAUCAAUUAAACUCUUGCAGAAAACAAUGAUACAGUCCCAACAACUAAAGUUUUCAGUGCAAAGAGCAAAUUAGUUAUGUGCAGAAAGGCUCAUCACUAAUAUCUUGGUCACUAGGUGAUGAAUUCUUAAGUCAUGAAAACUCAUGAAAUCAAGUAACUAUCAGUAGAAAAGGAGGAGAAGAAUGUCUAAUGAAACUGUUUAAGAUUCCUUAAA